rnacentral:rRNA from 1 species
CGAAUGGGGCAACCCACUAUAUUGAAGAUAUAGUAUCCGCAAGGAGGUAAACCCGGAGAACUGAAACAUCUAAGUACCCGGAGGAAGAGAAAACAAAAGUGAUUCCGAUAGUAGCGGCGAGCGAAAUUGGAACAGCCCAAACCAGUGUUGUUACGGCAAUACUGGGGUUGUAGGACCACGACAUUCGAACUGCAAUGAACUAGAAUACUUUGGAAAAAGUAGCCAUAGACGGUGAUAGCCCGGUAUAGGUAAAGAACAGUAAGAUAGUGGUAUCCUGAGUAGUGCGGGGCACGUGAAACCCUGUAUGAAUCCGGCGGGACCAUCCGCCAAGGCUAAAUACUCCUGAGAGACCGA